rnacentral:lncRNA from 1 species
UAAAAUUGACGAAGAUGAUUUAUAUAAAAAUAAAAUAAAAAAUUGACGAAGAUGAUGAAGUAUGACGAACAUAAUAUGAUGAAGAUGAAGUAUGGUGAACAAAAGAUGGAAAUGAAGUAUGAAUGUAUGAUGAAUUUCCUAGAGAAAGAUUUGAGGACUAAGGAGAGCGGCACGGCACCCAUGUUUGUGAGAAUGAGAAAACUACGGUUUACAAAGUCCACAUAUGAUUAUUUAUGAGAUUUACUUUUCACGCCACUAGGAAUCAUUCUUGAAAUUAUCAAAAUAACCUCGUCGCAUUCUAGGAUGCGAGGACCGUUAGCAUUCCUAUUUUGUGAGUGUCAAUUUUAUUUGACUAAAGUCCAAGGUCCGCGUUCUCCAUGAAUCAAAAUAUAAUGAAAAAAGAGUUAGCACGUUUUAGUAACAAUUGUUGAAAAGUUACCAAGGUUUGCAACACAAUUUAUUAAGGUACAUAUAAACCGUGAUAUCUUUAAUUUUAGACUUAAUUAGUAUUUUGGUCCCCU